rnacentral:rRNA from 1 species
UACGUAGGUCCCGAGCGUUGUCCGGAUUUAUUGGGCGUAAAGCGAGCGCAGGUGGUUUAUUAAGUCUGGUGUAAAAGGCAGUGGCUCAACCAUUGUAUGCAUUGGAAACUGGUAGACUUGAGUGCAGGAGCGGAGAGUGGAAUUCCAUGUGUAGCGGUGAAAUGCGUAGAUAUAUGGAGGAACACCGGUGGCGAAAGCGGCUCUCUGGCCUGUAACUGACACUGAGGCUCGAAAGCGUGGGGAGCAAACAGG